GGCUAUAGCCAUGCUACCCUGAACAAGCCCGAUCUGCCUGAUCUCAGAAGCUAAGCAGUGUCGGGCCUGGUUAGUACUUGGAUGGGAGACCACCUGGGAAGACAAGGUGCUCUAGGAG
rnacentral:rRNA from 1 species